rnacentral:lncRNA from 1 species
AAGCAAUUUGCUCAUAGCCAUAGCUUUCUUGUGAAAGUAGGAUAUUAACCCAGGUGUCUUGGUGCUGGAGAACAGAACUGGCCAGAGUCCAUCCUGUCUCCCACCGGCAUCCCAUUACGAAAUGAACACAGAAAAGGCAGGUCUGCAAUGCCAACAUCUAGUAUCUAUCCCAAAGACCAGGGAGAAAGGAAGGAAAGAUUCUGGUUCUGUCCUCUUCCCCAAGGCAAGGCUGGCUGCCCUACCAACAGAGGCAAAGAGAAGAGUGUGCAAGGCUGGCUGCCCUCCCAACAGAGGCAAAGAGGAGUGUGUGUUGAAAUAUCCAUUGAAUCCCUGAGACAACUGGAUCCUGGCCCAUUGAAUCAUAAACUCAUUAUGGAGGCUGGGAAGACCUAGAAUGUGGCAUCACUAUUUGGAAACCAUGCCGAUUACCGACCGAGCUCUCAAUGGAAAAAUGCAGUCGGCGUGAACCACGCACGAACACAGCAGAGAAAGAAGAAAACACACACCACGAGGAACCCUAAUAGGACAAUACAUUAUAAGUCACAGUGCUACGGAGAAACCCAGUAGCCACAUGGAAGCAGAGACCAUGCAUAUGCAUCUACUCCGCAGCUCUGUGAAUGUCAGCAGCUCCCACGGACUGGAGAUCCCGUGAGAUCCCGUGAGAUCUCACCCAUAGCCUCAUGGUACAUCCACUUGGUGUGCUGGGAGAGUCAGGAUGAGGACCUGAGAAGAACAGCAGCUUGAACCUGACUUCAUUUAACAGCCCACUGCCCUCUUGCCAAGAACCCAUCACAGACCUUCCCAGAAGAGAGGGAUGAGCCUCACCUAUGAAUAAGUCCUCAGAAACUCAAAUUUGAUUCUAAUGGAUUGUUUUCUCAGAAAGACUGAGCAUGUCCCCCCACAUCUCUGUCAUUUCCCACAGUAGUAACCUCUGCAGAUGCCACAUAGAAAACAAAACAAAACAAAAAAACAUGAGGUUGGUGGGCAGAUAGGCAGGGUAUAAACAAACAGCCUUGUAACCCAGAAGCUGUGUGAUAUACAGUAAACUUCACAACACUGAAAAGAUGUCCUAUCUGUUAAAAUGGGGUAAUAACAACUACCCGAAUGUUUAGGAAUAGAACUUCAAUAAAUGAUACAUUUUAUAGUACAGCAGACCAUCCUGUAAAGGUUUCAUCCUUCACUGUGGUGAUAAAUAUCCCAAACCACAUUGAAAAGCAUUGCAUCUACAUUUAUCUACACUGUAACUGUACUGUAAAUCAUGGGGGAGGGGAGAAUCAUAAAAACACCACCUGUCACCGUGUCAUUAAAGCAAGUUGGAAGUGAUACUUACAGAAACACAGCAAGAGCACCCCCAGUCACACAGUUCAAUCUCUUAGCAAGCGUUUUCUUUCUAGCCCAGUGGUUCUCAGUUUGGAAUUUUUGGCACUGCCUAGAGAUAGUUUUGUUGUUAAAACUGAGAAAAGAGCCGGGCGUGGUGGCACACGCCUUUAAUCCCAGCACUCAGGAGGCAGAGGCAGG